ensembl:lncRNA FLJ40194 uncharacterized FLJ40194
AGGAUGAACAGGAGUUAGGUGAAGAGGAGAACGAUGUCCAGGCAGGGGCCGGGGAAGCUCGUGCCAAGGCACUGAGGGGAAGUGCUGCAAUGAACCUCAGAGGCUGGAUCUUGCUGACUCAUCUGGGGUACCAAGGACAGACAAAGGACAUGGAGUCCAGGCCCAGGAGGCGAUACCAGGCCAGCAGUUUCACUGAUGCUCCUGUCAUGACGAUGACUGCCUCCCUCCUCCCCUUGGUCCCUGACUCAGUGUCUGCAGUGACCAGGCACCAGGCAGGGAGCAAGGAACCAAGCCUUUCACCUGCUCCCACCAACUCCUAUGGUGCUCCCUUUCCAAGGCUAGGUCUCCUCUCCACCCAGUUCCUUAUCACGUACCAUGAGAAGCUGUCACCUUGGCAACUGUCACCUUCUGGUGAGAUUUACAAUUGCACUGCUACAACUGCUUGUGGCAUGGUAAAGUUGCACCAGGACCUCUGCUGUCCAUGAGAUCAAAGUUCCAGGCCAAGGCACCAGGGGCACGAACAGUGUUGCCCGCAUGGAACUCACACUUAAUGGGAGCGGCAGCCAACAGAAAUAAGGUCAUCUGGGCCAGGUGCGGUGGCUCAAGCCUGUAAUCCCAGCACUUUGGGAGGCCGAGGUGGGCGGAUCACGAGAUCAGGACCUCAAGACCAGCCUGACCAACAUGGUGAAACCCCGUCUCUACUAAAAAUACAAAAAUUAGCCAGGCAUGGUGGCACGUGCCUAUAAUCCCAGCUAGUCUGGAGGGUGAGGCAGGAGAAUCGCUGGAACCUGGGAGGCAGAGGUUGCGGCGAGCCGAGAUCAUGUGAGGAAAUAAGGCCAUCUGGAAAUAUCCUUCCCAUCACAGGAUGAUACCCGGCAAAUUCUUCAAAGCAGUGUUCUCCAACUUGAAUGUUUGUGAUGUGGGCGAUUCUGACUGAGGGGGUCUGUAGACCACAUCUUGAUAAACAAUGCUUUUUAAAAAA